AUCAUUAUGUAUAUUAUUAUAUAAUAAAACCCAACGUCCAGGCCCAAAUUUGCAGCCCAAACUCGACCCAAAACCCACCAUAUAAAAUCCAAGCAACCCGGCUGUGUAUAGACACUAAGACACACACCCCCAAAUACAACUCUAACGCUAACACCCAUCCCUCUGACGUCCUCAUCGCACUCUUCGCCUCUCAGCCCUCGCAUUGUCUCUCUCUGUCUCUAUCGACGUCUCCUGCUCUCCACCAUCGGCGUGUCCAGCUCUCUGCCCUCGGCGAUCUCAGCCUCCCUCCGUCUCUCUAUGUGUCGAUAUUGUCUCUCUAUGUGUCGCAGCCUCUCCAGUUCCGGUUCUCCGCCCUCGGCGUCUACGGCUCUAUGCCCUCAACGCUUUCAUGCUCGAAGACCUUCUCUCAGCAUACCUGUGAGGCAAUCCAUCGAACAGGUUAAUGGGGAAAGUUGCAUCUGAUAACUACAUAAUGUGAACUAAACAUAUCCAAUUACUGGUAGAGUUCCUUUGAUGCUGUGUCAAUGGCAGUAAGAACGCUUGGAAAUUUAUGCAGGUGGUAUGCUAUUGAAAUCCUUAAAAAGGGUUUCUAUUAGCUUUUCUGAGCAUGUGUAUUCAUGGAUUUCAUGCUAAGCUUUGCCUCCCUGAGUCUCUGAUCUCUUCUCCUGCAACAAAACAAAUGAGAAACAAAUAAUCAGUCCUUCAAAUUGGUUUACCAUCAUUGUAGAUGUGGGUUUCACCACAGAACCAUCUAUUUAUAGGCAUUUUCUCAGUAAAAUUUAAUUUUAAAAAUGUGUACAUGCUUGCUUGUGUUGUA